GGCUCAGUUACAGGAUAAACACAUCCCUCCAGAGCCCUACUCUUCUAAAUGGAGAUGAGAAACUAUAUUAGAAGGAACGUUUUGUUACAGGCAAGAUUUAGCAACUCUGCUUAUAUCAGUAACAAAGGCCAGAAGAACUUACUCUUUCCGUGUCACUUCAUCAUAAGCCUAUAGUAAGAUAUGUUUUCUACAUCUGUUAGAAAAAGCACCCCUCUUUCAUGUUGUGACCAUUCUUAAUGCAUUCUUCAUGCCUGACCGAGAUUAUAGCAGAAAAUGGUGAAACUACUGUUAGA